AUUAACGGUACAAAAAUCACACAUGAUUCUCUCAUCAUUCGUGUCCAUACUAAUCACAUGUGGAAAUACUACUUUGGAUAUGAAGGAUAAAGCACUCCUUCAGAGUCUACACUCUGCUACUUCUGUCUCCAGCCUCCUGCUGGUUCCUGUUCUGGGGCUAGUUAAUUCCCUGGCCUCCAGACAUUCACACUGUGCUGGGAGCAUGGUUUUAGGCGCUCCUCAUGGUCAGCGGGCAUUGGGGUCCUGCCAGGGAGACAGAGGAGCAGAGCCAGGCGUGAAUCUCCUGGAUCCUGGGAAGAGCUUAUGCUGAGGCAUGUGGAGGGAUGAAUGAGCUCUUGGGGACUGUCAUUACCAGCUCUCCGAGAAACUGGAUUGCCUGCAAUAAAAAUCUCCAACAUCCUGCUUCAGGGCUGGGGUCUCAUGGGGAGCUCUUGACACGGUGCCCAAACCACAGCCUUAAUCACCGAGGCACGUGGCUCACACUUGCAUGGAUGUGUGGACGUGGGCCUCUCUUCGGGCUGGAAACUCGGAGCAGCUUCGCUCUGGAGAAACGGAUCUCUCGCUCUCUUUCCUCCACCCACAUGUCAGCAAAGGCUUUACUUAAGCAAAUGCCACCUGCCCCAGCCCGGACACUUGUCUGCACCACAGAGGCCCGUGCUGAGUGCCAGCAACUCAGGCCUGUUUUCUCUGAGGGGGCCGGACCCUGGAAUGUUGACACCCCGUGGUUGUUGCUGUAAUGAUAAUGCUCUACAUUAAUAACACACCUCUCAGCCAGAUGGGUUCCUGAGUGCCCUACAGGCUGUGACAAGUAACCAUCCUGAGUUCCAACAAUUUACUGUGCCCACCAGGGCUCAUGGCUCCUGGAUGAGUCACAGGCUUUUGUCCACAUGCAGAAAUGAGGCUGGAUUGGCCAAGGGGAGAGCAAAGCAAAGGAACUGACCAAGGCCUGACUGGGAGGAUGUGAGGACCAUGGUCACUGUGCCAUCAAGGACCAGAGUAAUGAGCCAGAAGCAGUGGUAAGGAGUAGGGGACAGCACGUGACUCGGCACCUGCAUCUAUCUCAGCUGACAUCACUCUGUCAAUGAGCCUGUCCUCGGAAGCUGCAAGUAGCUAUAGCACAGUACCAGAAGUUUUUUUUGGCAUUUCUCUCUAUGGAGUUCCAACAGAUGGAGCUCAGCUGCGCAAUGUAAGGCCCUUGUUGACAGCUUUCACUGUUCAGACGGUGAUCACAGGCGGAUUGCUUGUGGGCCUCCGUUCCUGAUUCCUGAGGUGAGCUGGCAAUCUUCAGAAAUACCGAGGCGUGUGUAAACAAGGUUAUUGGUGACUGCAGGGUGAGACCGCCUACAACGCCCCCAAACACGCCUCAGUGCAGAAUGUACUUGCAGAAAUUUGGCUGGCAGUUCAGAUCAUUCAGACACCAUCCUUGAAGCUUCAUUACCAGGGUAGAUGUGCAUCAAAGACCCCGACUGAGGACACAUCAGUGGACUCACCCAGUGGGAAUUAUCUCCUCCCCAAAGCUUCCAGUCCAGGGCUGGCUGCUCCGAGCUGGGCCAAUCAAUUUAUCUCCUGAUGCAUGUCAUUAUCCUUUUGCAUGUCUGUGCCAGAAAGUUUUGUAAAUGUGAACCUGGCGAAGCGGAAUCCUUUGCAAAGGAGAGUUGCAGGGAGCAACAAGGUCAAUGUCAGGGAGGCAGAGGGUCGGUGACCACAUGCUAAGAAGGGGUGGGGAGAGGUCCUCAGCUUUGCUGAAUGCUCUGCCAGGGAGUAGCCCUUUGCCAUUGAGACUCCCUGUUGAGACUUCUGGGAUUCUGUUACAGGCAACUGAGUGAUUUAACAACCAGGACAAAUAUACUGUGCUUGGAACGGAAAAAACCCCGACUUCUACAUUUGGAUUCUCAGAGCCGUGCUAACCAGAUGUAAAAUGCAGGGAGAGGCACCAUGGUGAUUGAGUUUUCAUCUUUGAAACACAACAGCAUGCCAAUCUUCUAUGAAGUCACUGUGAGGACCUUUGUUAACAGGACACAAGAUGACUACUCCUAUGCUGAUCCUGGGAGCCUACUUAUGUGAACUGACUGCGGCUAUUUCAAGGAAGAACAGGGCUCUCCCUCCCUCCCUCCCUCCCUCCCUCCCUCCCUC